rnacentral:tRNA from 1 species
GAGGGUGUAGCUCAGUGGCAGAGUGCAAGCUUAGCAUGCAUGAGGUCCUGGGCUCAGUCCCCAGUACUUACA